AUCUGAUUCAUUCAUUUAUGAGACGCCUCGACUCAAAGCGGGUCCAUCUGAGAGCAGAUCUUCCUGUGAUAGGAGCCACAAACCGACACCAUGCUGCUGCAGCCUUUCUGGAGCUUCCUGCUGGGACACGCCUCCCUGCUCUGCUCGCCCUUCUUCCCCGUCGUCUUCUCGCUGUCCGUCUACCUGUCCUGCUGCCUGCCCUACCUGCUGCUGGACGCCCUGGCCUCCAGGUGUGCUCUGGUGCGCAGGUACAAGCUGCAGCCGGCCUCCGUGGGCUCGGCCUCGCCGGGCGUCUGCCUGGCUCUGACGCUCUACAACCACCUGCUCUUCAUCUUCCCGCUCAGCGUGCUGCACUGGUACCUGAGGCCGGUACACCUGCCUGAACAGGCCCCGCCCCUGCCCCGCCUCCUGGCCCAGGUGUUCGUCUGUCUGUUGCUCUUUGACUUCCAGAGCUUCACCUGGCACCUGCUGCACCACAGAGUGCCCUGGCUCUACCGCACCUUCCACAAGGUGCACCACACCUUCAGCUCCACCUCGGCCCUGACAGCGGAGUACACUGGAGCCUGGGAGACCCUCAGCCUGGGCUUGUUUGCCGCCUCCACCCCGGUGCUGCUGGGCACCCACCCGCUGACCCAGCUGCUGUUCUUCGUGGUGAACAUCUGGCUGUCGGUGGAGGACCACUGCGGCUACGACCUGCCCUGGGCCACCCACCGCCUGGUGCCUCUGGGGCUGUUCGGCGGCGCCCGGCACCACGACCUGCACCACCUCAGGUCCCGCUGCAACUACGCCCCCUACUUCACCCACUGGGACCGGCUGGCCGGGACGCUGUGCACACAGUACUGAUGGACUGGAGAGGUUCUGCAGAUUUUCCAGGACCAGCAGGACCUUCUAAAGAGACACUCUGUUUGUUCACACAGUAUUUAAAGCUAUGUAUUUAUUACCAUAUUUAUUAAUGAAGAAAUGUACCAAUGUUUUCAUGUUAAAGGUGCUCCUCCAGCAACCAAUCAGCUCAACUAUUUCAUCUCCUGUUCUCAUCAUCCCUCAGUCUGAGUCAGUUUUAAUGGAAACUGUCCAGUUUCUGAGUCUGAGGCUCAUUCAAUGUGAAUAUUUUCCGUUUUCUUUCUUCUUCUAUGGCAGUAAACUGAAGAUCUUGGAUGUUUUUCAAACUCUCUAUAAUUUUCUGACAUUUUCUGGAAGCAGCUGAUUAAACAUCCAGAAAAUGAUCCAGAACAGCUGAUAGCUACUGGAAGCUGGAAUGAAGGUUCUGAGCUGCAAUUUAAAGGUUCUGUAAGUAGGCAGCUCAUCUUUACUCUUCUAAAUGGACAGAAUGGAAUAUACAGGUAGAUGUACAGGUGAAUAUACAGGUAGAUACAGGAAAAUAAGCAGGUAGAUAUACAGGUAGAUGUACAGGUAGAUACAGAUGUGCUCAGGAGCAUCUGUUUGAAGGAAGUGAAGGUGUUUAAAUGUGACUGAAUUGUGAAACUGUGUUUUUAAGCUGUGAAGAGAAUAAAGUUUAUGAUGAAAAACAAA